rnacentral:pre_miRNA from 1 species
AGUGGGAUAGCUGGGUCAAAUGGUGGUUCCAGUCCCAGUUUUCCAAGGAUUCUCCAUACUGCUUUCCAUAUUGGCUGCACCAAUUUGCAAUCUUACCAGCAAU